GAUGAAGAACGCAGUGAAAUGCGAUAAGUAGUGUGAAUUGCAGAAUUCAGUGAAUCAUCGAAUCUUUGAACGCACAUUGCACCUCUCGGUAUUCCGGGAGGUAUGCCUGUUCGAGCGUCAUUUGUACCCUCAAGCUCUGCUUGGUGUUGGGUGUUUGUUCCGCCUCUGUGUGUGAACUCGCCUCAAAACAAUUGGCAGCCGGCGUACUUGUUUCGGAGCGCAGCACAUUUUGCGAUCCAGAUCAACGUACAGCGGCAUCCAAGAAGCCUUAUUUAACGCUCUUGACCUCGGAUCAGGUAGGGAUACCCGCUGAAAUUAAGCAUAUCAAUAAGCGGAGGA
rnacentral:misc_RNA from 1 species